UACGUAGGGGGCAAGCGUUGUCCGGAUUUAUUGGGCGUAAAGAGCGUGUAGGCGGCUAGGUAGGUCCGCUGUGAAAACUCGAGGCUCAACCUCGAGCUGUCGGUGGAAACCAUCUGGCUAGAGUCCGGAAGAGGAGAGUGGAAUUCCCGGUGUAGCGGUGAAAUGCGCAGAUAUCGGGAAGAACACCCAUGGCGAAGGCAGCUCUCUGGGACGGUACUGACGCUGAGACGCGAAAGCGUGGGGAGCGAACAGG
rnacentral:rRNA from 1 species